UUAAAAUAAAAUAUGUACGAUAAAAUAUGGAUGUUAUAUACUUAAAUGUAGAAAGUAUAAAUAUAGAAGCAUUAACAAGACUGUGUCAAGCAUUUACAAGACAAACAACGAAAAGUAAAACCGCAGUAUGCAGUUUGUCAGUGGCGGCCGUUUGAAGGCUUACAGCCGGAAAUCAAUUAACGAGGACGAAUUUACAGUGAAAAAAAUCGCGAUGAACAUUUAACUAGACGACUUAACCAAUAGGAUUUAUUAAGAUUAUGAAACUCUCGCAUUAUGUCUUAUUAGAGCUAUUAUUAUCAUUAUCGUAUCUAACGAUGAACGAGGACGAUACUUAUUUGCACCGUGGGAAAUGGCAGAUGAUAGACUUGAUAAGUGAGGAAAGGGGGAGAACAAUAUGAGAGGAGGGACUCGUAUAUUUGAAUUUUGAUGAUAAAGGAUAAGAACAAAAGGAUAAGACGCGCGAACCGUAUAGCUUCGUACCGACCGAAUGGGAAAUCACUGGGUAUAAAUAGAGGAUGACUCGCGGUCUGGACUCGCCCGUUGGAUAUCGCGAGUCGAUGAUGAUCGUGAUGAUGAUGAUGUUGAUGAUCAUACCUCCUCGUGAGCCAAGUGUAUAUAUCGGACGUAAACUUUUACGAGAUCGAUGCCUCAUCUCAACGAGAAAAUACUUCUAUCGUAAAAUAAUGAAAAAAAAAAAAAAAAAAAAAAAGAAAAAAAUUAAAGAAAGUCAAAUAAAAGUAAAUAAAAGUAAAUAAAAGAAAAUAAAAGAAAAUAAAAGAAAUGAUUUCUUUUUAACUCCUUUUAACGAAUAAUAUGCUCAUCCUUUCGUAACGUCGUCGCUUUGGUAUUUCAAAAAUAGACGGGGUCGCAGGGUGAUAUAUAAGUACCUAUGAUGCGGACACGUGAUAUCUCUCUCUCUGUCUGUCUCUCUCCCCCUCCCUCUCUCUCUCUCUCUCUCUCUCUCUCUCUCUCUCUCUCUCUCUCUCUCUCUCUCUCUCUCUCUCUCUUCUACAAAGUAGUCACUAUUUCGAUUCUUCGAACGUUUUGAAAAAGAACAUCUUUCAAUUUGAAAUUAUAUUUCGAGGAAGAAUAAGAAACUAAAUAAACAUGUAAGAAGAGUUGGCUCUCGUAGA